GAUUAACGCCGGCGGCGUGCCUAACACAUGCAAGUCGAGCGCCCCUUCGGGGGAGGCGGCGGACGGCUGAGUAACACGUUGGUACCUGCCCCAAACUCGGGAAUAAGCGCUGGAAACGGCGUCUAAUGCCCGAUAGUCUCUUCGGAGUAAAGCUUUUGCGGUUUGGGAGGGGCCUGCGCAUGAUUAGCUUGUUGGUGAGGUAAUGGCUCACCAAGGCUUCGAUCAUUAAAUGGUCUGAGAGGAUGAUCAUUCAGACUGGGACUGAGACACGGCCCAGACUCCUACGGGAGGCAGCAGUGAGGAAUCUUUCGCAAUGGGGGAAACCCUGACGAAGCAACGCCGCGUGGAGGAAGACGGUCUUCGGAUUGUAAACUCCUUUUAUAUGGGACGAACAUUUGACGGUACCAUAUGAAUAAGAGGUGGCUAACUACGUGCCAGCAGCCGCCGU
rnacentral:rRNA from 1 species